rnacentral:rRNA from 1 species
UCAAAUGUUCUUCGUGAACAUGGCGGACUGCGUCAGUAACACGUGGAUAACCUGCCCUUAGGAUUGGCAUAACACCGGGAAACUGGUGAUAAUACCGAAUAGACCAUUUAUGCUGGAAUGCUUUUUGGUUCAAAGGCUUCGGCUGCCUAAGGAUGGAUCUGCGGCCUAUCAGGUAGUAGUGGGUGUAAUGUACCUACUAGCCUACGACGGGUACGGGUUGUGAGAGCAAGAGCCCGGAGAUGGAUUCUGAGACAUGAAUCCAGGCCCUACGGGGCGCAGCAGGCGCGAAAACUUUACAAUGCGGGAAACCGCGAUAAGGGGACACUGAGUGCCAGCAUAUUAUGUUGGCUGUCCACAUGUAUAAAAACCAUGUGUUAGCAAGGGCCGGGCAAGACCGGUGCCAGCCGCCGCGGUAACACCGGCGGCCCGAGUGGUGAUCACUUUUAUUGGGUCUAAAGGGUCCGUAGCCGGUUUAAUCAGUCUUCUGGGAAAUCUGACAGCUCAACUGUUAGGCUUUCAGGGGAUACUGUUAGACUUGGGACCGGGAGAGGUAAGAGGUACUACAGGGGUAGGAGUGAAAUCUUGUAAUCCCUGUGGGAC